rfam:Haemonchus contortus, ISE/inbred ISE, WGS project CAVP01000000 data, contig: Hcontortus_9559
GGCCCAAAUCUUAGGUAAGGUAGAUUAGUAGGGUCAGCUGAUCCUACUAUUCUACUGUACUUCGAAGUUGGGCCC